GCCUCGGGUGGUGUAGUGGUAGUAGCAGCACGCUUCCCCGGACAGGAUGAAACGUGGGUUCGAUUCCCCUGGAGGCC